rnacentral:rRNA from 1 species
GUGCUUUGUAGCGAUACGAAGUAUCCUAGUGGCGAACGGGUGAGUAACGCGUUGGUGACCUACCCCAAAGUGUGGGAUAACAAUCCGAAAGGAUUGCUAAUACCGCAUGUGGUCUCUGGAUUUAGAAACCGGUGACUAAAGGAGCAAUUCGCUUUGGGAGGGACCUGCGUCCCAUCAGCUAGUUGGUGAGGUAACGGCUCACCAAGGCGACGACGGGUAGGGGACCUGAGAGGGUGGCCCCCCACAAUGGAACUGAAACACGGUCCAUACACCUACGGGUGGCAGCAGUAGGGAAUAUUGGUCAAUGGGCGAAAGCCUGAACCAGCAACGCCGCGUGUGCGAUGAAGGCCUUCGGGUCGUAAAGCACUUUUCUGGGAGAUGAGAAAGGACAGUAUCCCAGGAAUAAGUCUCGGCUAACUACGUGCCAGCAGCCGCGGUAAAACGUAGGAGGCGAGCGUUAUCCGGAUUCACUGGGCGUAAAGCGCGUGCAGGUGGCUUGGUAAGUUAGGCGUGAAAUCUCCCGGCUCAACUGGGAGAGGUCGUCUAAUACUACCGGGCUUGAGAGCAGAAGAGGAAGAUGGAAUUCCCGGUGUAGUGGUGAAAUGCGUAGAUAUCGGGAGGAACACCAGUGGCGAAGGCGAUCUUCUGGUCUGUUUCUGACACUCAGACGCGACAGCUAGGGUAGUAAACGGGAUUAGAGACCCCGGUAAUCCUAGCCGUAAACGAUGUAAACUUGGCGUUGGUGGGUUAAACUCCAUCAGUGCCGC